rnacentral:rRNA from 1 species
CAGCCGCCGCGGUAAUACGUAGGUCCCGAGCGUUGUCCGGAUUUAUUGGGCGUAAAGCGAGCGCAGGCGGUUAGAUAAGUCUGAAGUUAAAGGCUGUGGCUUAACCAUAGUACGCUUUGGAAACUGUUUAACUUGAGUGCAAGAGGGGAGAGUGGAAUUCCAUGUGUAGCGGUGAAAUGCGUAGAUAUAUGGAGGAACACCGGUGGCGAAAGCGGCUCUCUGGCUUGUAACUGACGCUGAGGCUCGAAAGCGUGGGGAGCAAACAGGAUUAGAUACCCCUGUAGUCCCUGUCUCUUAUACC